GCUCUCAUUUACCACCACAGAAAACUCUUAGCGCUUUCAGAGGCAGAUAAACCCUAUGUGGUUAAAGUUUUGGAAGAUGGAGAUCUACAAACUGUUGGCUUGUUGGAUUAUGACAAGAGACUUAAGCAUUCCUUCACUGCUCAUCCAAAGGUCGAUCCAUUCACUGGAGAGAUGUUUACAUUUGGCUAUGCACAUGAACCCCCAUACAUAACUUACAGAGUUAUUUCAAAGGAUGGUGUCAUGCAUGAUCCAGUGCCAAUAACCAUAUCAGACCCCAUCAUGAUGCAUGACUUUGCAAUUACUGAGAAUUAUGCAAUUUUUAUGGAUCUUCCUUUGUACUUCAGGCCAAAGGAAAUGGUGAAAGACAAGAAGCUGAUAUUCACAUUUGAUGCCACCAAAAAAGCUCGUUUUGGUGUUCUUCCUCGUUAUGCAAAGGAUGACCAUCUAAUCAGAUGGUUUGAGCUUCCAAAUUGCUUCAUAUUCCACAAUGCCAAUGCUUGGGAGGAGGGGGAUGAAGUUGUUUUGAUCACUUGCCGUCUUGAGAAUCCAGAUCUAGACCUGGUCAGUGGGACCGUCAAAGAAAAACUUGAGAAUUUUGCAAAUGAACUGUAUGAGAUGAGGUUCAACAUGAAAACUGGCAUGGCUUCUCAAAAGAGACUAUCAGCAUCUGCUGUUGAUUUUCCUAGGGUGAAUGAGAGCUACACUGGCAGGAAGCAAAGAUAUGUCUACGGAACCAUUCUGGAUAGCAUUGCCAAGGUAACUGGGAUUAUCAAAUUUGACCUGCAUGCUGAACCCCAGCAAGGGAAAACAAAGCUUGAAGUUGGAGGAAAUAUUGAAGGCAUCUUUGAUCUGGGACCUGGUAGAUUUGGUUCAGAAGCUAUAUUUGUUCCCCGGGAGCCUGGCUCCAGUUCUGAGGAAGAUGAUGGCUACUUGAUAUUCUUUGCGCAUGAUGAAAACACUGGAAAAUCAUCAGUGAAUGUGAUUGAUGCAAAAACAAUGUCAAGUGAUCCUGUUGCAGUUGUUGAAUUACCCCAUAGGGUUCCAUAUGGAUUCCAUGCCUUCUUUGUGACAGAGGAACAACUUCAAGAACAGGCAACACUGUAAUUGUUCAAAAGCAGAGAACAUGGGACUUCUGAGUCAAAAAUAGCAGAUCUUGUGUCAAAUAGAUAUCCAGGAGGCAAAGUGAAGGUCCAUUAUAGAGUAUAAAUUUGUUACCUCAUCGUCUGACAUAUAAAAACGUUAAUUGUA
rnacentral:misc_RNA from 1 species